rnacentral:pre_miRNA from 2 species
CUGCCCAUCUAUUUUCUGGACGGAGUUUGCACAAUACGUAUUUAUAUACAUACAUACAUAUGUAUAUAUGUAAUUUGUUAACAUAUUGGCAGUCUUCGGCCUGAAAAUGUUUGUACA